rnacentral:rRNA from 1 species
GACGAACGCUGGCGGCGUGCCUAACACAUGCAAGUCGAACGAGAAAGUGGAGCAAUCCAUGAGUAAAGUGGCGCACGGGUGAGUAACACGUGACUAACCUACCCUUGAGUGGGGGAUAACCUAGGGAAACCUGGGCUAAUACCGCAUAAUAUCGAGAGAUCAAAGGAGCAAUUCGCUUAAGGAGGGGGUCGCGGCUGAUUAGCUAGUUGGUGGGGUAAUGGCCCACCAAGGCUGNGAUCAGUAUCCGGCCUGAGAGGGCGCACGGACGCACUGGAACUGAAACACGGUCCAGACUCCUACGGGAGGCAGCAGUGGGGAAUUUUGCGCAAUGGGGGAAACCCUGACGCAGCAACGCCGCGUGGAGGAUGAAGUCCCUUGGGACGUAAACUCCUUUCGAUCGGGACGAUAAUGACGGUACCGAGAGAAGAAGCCCCGGCUAACUUCGUGCCAGCCGCCGCGGUAA